GACGAACGCUGGCGGCGUGCUUAACACAUGCAAGUCGAACAGUGGCGGACGGGUGAGUAAUGCUUGGGAAUCUAGCUAAUGGGGGGGGAUAACUACGGGAAACUGUAGUAAUACCCGCGUACCAUAGGAUGAGCCCAAGUGGGAUUAGGUAGUUGGUGAGGUAAAGGCUAACCAAGCCGACGUCCUCUAGCUGUUCUGAGAGGAGGACCAGCAACACUGGGACGGGGACACGGCCCAGACUCCUACGGGAGGCAGCAGUGGGGAAUAUUGCCCAUGGUGGGCAGCCUGACGCAGCCAGGCCGCGGGAAUGAAGAGGGCCUUCGGGUUGUAAAGUUCUUUCGGUGGCGAGGCGUUAACUACAGAAGAAGCACCGGCUAACUCCGUGCCAGCAGCCGCGGUAAUAC
rnacentral:rRNA from 1 species